UAUUUAUUUAUUUUGAUAAGACAUGCGUAUAUUCAAUAUGUCGAAACAGUCUCAACAAAUAGUAGCGUCUCUAAUAGAAUACUUUGGAAGAUAACGUGAGAAUUGAGGACCUUUACUUCCACUAACUGCUGUUAAAGACGUAAGUUAUAUUAAUUGUGUUAAUUACCUAUCCUACAUCUACAAAAACUGAGCAAAAAUCAUACAGCGAAUAUAUAAAUAUCGGGUUAGAUUAGAUAUUUGUCGAUUGUUGAUUUCAGAGGGUUGCAGAUCUCUUGAAGUCGAGUAUUACUACUAUAAACCGUAUUGCGACUGAUUCUAAUAGAGAGGUGAAGUAUUCAGCAAUCCAUCGAAACAGUGGUAGACGGGUGAAACCUGUGGUAGAUAUUGAUGAUUUCGAUCAAACUGCUAUUCGAAAUGUGAUCUAUGAUAUGUACAAAAUCGGAAAACAUAUCAAUUUGCAAACUUUGAAAGAUGAACUGGAAGAACGUGAUCUCUUCAAAUGUUGUGAGACAUAUUUAUAGAAAAUUCUGAAGAAAAUUAGUUUUACAUACAAAAAAGAUGAUCUACGUUAUGGUUUGAUGGAGCUGCCUGGUAUUGCAAUGAAACAUAUACAUUUUCACAUGACUACAUGAAACUUAAGAUUGUAUUCUUGGAUGAAACUUGGGUAUUCAAAGAUGGUACCAUUGGGCGACCCUGGCAAAAUUCAAAUGUGAAGAGUGAUGGUGCAAGAUAUAUUGUGAUUCAUGCUGGAUGCAGAACCGGGUUUAUUAAUAGAGCAGACCUGAUUAUUUGUUCAAAAACGAAGAAUUAUGAUUACCACGGAGAAAUGAACCAACACAGUUUUCUACAUUGGUUUGAAUAACAACUUUUAAUAAAUUUAGAAGAGCCUUCAGUUAUAGUCCUGGAUAAUGCAAGUUAUUACAGCA